CUAGCAUAUCAAUAAGCGGAGGAAAAGAAACCAACAGGGAUUGCCCUAGUAACGGCGAGUGAAGCGGCAACAGCUCAAAUUUGAAAUCUGGCCCUCGGGUCCGAGUUGUAAUUUGUAGAGGAUGCUUUUGGCGCGGUGCCUUCCGAGUUCUCUGGAACGAGACGCCUUAGAGGGUGAGAGCCCCGUACGGUUGGACACCAAGCCUCUGUAAAGCUCCUUCGACGAGUCGAGUAGUUUGGGAAUGCUGCUCUAAAUGGGAGGUAAAUUUCUUCUAAAGCUAAAUAUUGGCCAGAGACCGAUAGCGCACAAGUAGAGUGAUCGAAAGAUGAAAAGCACUUUGAAAAGAGGGUUAAAUAGCACGUGAAAUUGUUGAAAGGGAAGCGUUUGCGACCAGACCUUUUCCUGGCGGAUCAUCCGGUGUUCUCACCGGUGCACUUCGCCUGGUUUAGGCCAGCAUCGGUUUCUGUAGGGGGAUAAAAGCUCUGGGAACGUAGCUCCCUCGGGAGUGUUAUAGCCCUUUGCAUAAUACCCUUACGGGGACCGAGGACCGCGCUUUAUGCAAGGAUGCUGGCGUAAUGGUCGUCAACGACCCGUCUUGAAACACGGACCAAGGAGUCGAACAUUUGUGCGAGUGUUUGGGUGUUAAACCCUCACGCGUAAUGAAGGUGAACGUAGGUGAGAGCCCUUACGGGUGCAUCAUCGACCGAUCCUGAUGUCUUCGGAUGGAUUUGAGUAAGAGCAUAACUGUUCGGACCCGAAAGAUGGUGAACUAUGCGUGGAUAGGGUGAAGCCAGAGGAAACUCUGGUGGAGGCUCGCAGCGGUUCUGACGUGCAAAUCGAUCGUCAAAUCUGCGCAUGGGGGCGAAAGACUAUCGAACCAUCAGCGGUU
rnacentral:rRNA from 1 species